UACGGAGGGGGCAAGCGUUGUUCGGAAUUACUGGGCGUAAAGCGUGCGCAGGCGGUUAUGCAAGACAGAUGUGAAAUCCCCGGGCUCAACCUGGGAACUGCAUUUGUGACUGCAUAGCUAGAGUGCGGCAGAGGGAGAUGGAAUUCCGCGUGUAGCAGUGAAAUGCGUAGAUACUGGGAGGAACACCGGUGGCGAAGGCGGCUACCUGGACCGGUUCUGACGCUGAUGCGCGAAAGCGUGGGUAGCAAACAGG
rnacentral:rRNA from 1 species